CAGUAGCCGCGGUAAUGCAUAGGUGGCGAGCGUUGUCCGGAAUUAUUGGGCGUAAAGGGAGCGCAGGCGGACAUAUAAGUCCAUCUUAAAAGUGCGGAGCUCAACCCCGUGAGGGGAUGGAAACUGUAUGCCUUGAGUGCAGGAGAGGAAAGCGGAAUUCCCUGUGUAGCGGUGAAAUGCGUAGAUAUUGGGAGGAACACCAGUGGCGAAGGCGGCUUUCUGGACUGUAACUGACGCUGAGGCUCGAAAGCCAGGGGAGCGAACGGGAUUAGAUACCCCCGUAGUCCCUGUCUCUUAUACA
rnacentral:rRNA from 1 species